rnacentral:rRNA from 1 species
ACGGAAGGCAGCAGUGAGGAAUAUUGGUCAAUGGACGCAAGUCUGAACCAGCCAUGCCGCGUGCAGGAAUAAGGCCCUAUGGGUCGUAAACUGCUUUUGUGGUGGAGCAAUAAGUCGUACGUGUACGGCGAUGAGAGUACAUCACGAAUAAGCAUCGGCUAACUCCGUGCCAGCAGCCGCGGUAAUACGGAGGAUGCAAGCGUUAUCCGGAUUUAUUGGGUUUAAAGGGUGCGUAGGCUGUGGUCCAAGUCAGGGGUGAAAGCCCGGAGCUCAACUCCGGAACUGCCUUUGAUACUGGAUUGCUGGAAUACGGAUGCCGUGGGAGGAAUGAGUAGUGUAGCGGUGAAAUGCGUAGAUAUUACUCAGAACACCGAUUGCGAAGGCAUCUCACGAAUCCGUCAUUGACGCUGAGGCACGAAAGCGUGGGGAUCAAACAGGAUUAGAUACCCUGGUA